ensembl:lncRNA
AUGAUGAAUGUGGCAGUGCCAAGGGAAGACCAAGGGAAUGCACAUGUUAAGGCUCUCUGGCUUUCAAGGGAUGAGGAGAAAAGGUGCCAUAGAGGGAGGGGACCAUGGAGGCUUAUUCAGUCUGUCCAAUUCCUGGGCCUGUACCUAGGGCCAUCUACUGCCCCUGAGGGUGGAGACAGGCCUGCCUUGUUCUUUCCUUCUCUCCCUCCCCUCCCUGAGUUCUGUUCUGGGGCAGAGAGAAACAGCAGGGCUCUGUUACUCCAAAUUUUGGUGGGCAGGUUGGGACCUGCUCACAGGCCACCCAGCUACCUGGGACAGGUGCUGGGGGAGGGAUGUCUGCUAGUCAGAAACAGGUGUGAAGGGCCCUGGGGUCUCUGGUUUGGGUUUAGGCAGGGUUGGCUGAGAGCAUCCCACUGGACUUCUAUGCUCCUUCAUUCUCUGAGCUGCUGUACAGACCGAUCCUUGUGUCGGGGGUGCCCUUCACAGCUACAUCUUGGCAUACUCUCACUGUAUUUUCAAAGUGAAAGUUGCUCAGUCAUGUCUGACUCUUUGUGGCCCCAUGGACAGAAUCCCAUGCUCUGUCCAUGGGAUUCUCCAGGCAAGAACACUAGAGUGGGUUGCCAUUUCCUUCUCCAGGGGAUCUUCCUGACCCAGGGAUCGAACCCAGGUCUCCCGCACUUCAGGCAGAUUCUUUACCAUCUGGGCCACCAGGGAAGCCCGAAGUCAGGGUCUAAACUCACUUUCCCCAUCAAGUCCCUGAUUCUUUUCAGCAAUAACAAUCUUUCCUUUUCACAUUCUCCCAAAGGACACAGUUCUUGUAACACUCUUCAUCUCCUAAAAUUACUUGUGGAUCUGUCUACCUCCCCCACUGGACCAGAAAAUCCCUCAGAUGAGGGUCCACAUCAGAUUCAAAUGCACAGGCAGCCAGGCAGAUCCCAUAAAUGGGAGAUGCAGUUCUUUUAUGGGGCCAGGAUGGUAUGUAUCCUGGUGUGGGCCAGAAAACUGGGAGUCUCAGGAUCUGUAAUGAAUGGGGGAGGGGACCUGCCUCACCUAAAGGGGUAA